AAGGAAGGGAGAGAAGGAGGGAGAGAGUUGAUUGCUCAAUAAAUGUUAACUAUAAAUCACUUUUGAAAGAAAAACAGUUAGCUUCAGUAACAUUUGCAUUUUGAUUUUCUUCCCUCUGUUUCUUCUCAGUUGAAUUUGUGGGUUUGUGGUUGUGAAACAGAAACAGAUCAUAAGGCCUUCGGAAAGCUAUCCCCUCCCCCAUGUCUGUUUAAUCCUAUUCUGUUCACAUGUUUAAGAAGAGGGCACCAUUCCCUGCCCACCAGUCCCUCCCCCAAAGCAGGGGGCUGUUUAGUUAUUCAAGCAAGUCCAGAAUCCUCCAAGGGACUUUUGACAUUGUUCUCAGAAGAAAUGCUCUUCCUCCUACUGGCGUGGCCAAGCCUAUGGGGCCAUCUUUGCCAUAACAUAGAAGCAAUCUGCCUGGGAAUGAAGUCAACGUAAAGGAAAACAAAACCAAGAGAUGGAGUUUUGACGUCAUCAUUUGAUCUCUGGGUCAAGCUAUGCCUGAAGUCAGUGAAUCAUCCUUGACAAUUGAAAUGGUAAAUUGCCUUUUUAGAGCUUAAGCCAGUUUGUUGGGUAUUAUGUCACUGCCAACAAGAUUCCUUGUAACAGAAUUGGUUCCUUCCCCUUCACCUGGCUCACUCAGAGGUCAGUUUCUGUUUCUAAUUUGAAACUACCAGCAAAGAGGACCACAUAUUUUAUUGAAUCAGGUGUGGGAAAGACCAACAGGAUGCUUAUGACAAGAAUGUUUCUACUAAACCAAAAUAAAGCUCCAUCAAGUAUAAAACAAAUAAAAAAUAAUAAACAUGUUUCUUCUGAUCCCAAGUGGGAAGCUGACAUCAGUAGAGAGCUUUGAUGGGUUGCUUAUAUAAUCUGGUAAAGAAGCAGCUAAAGAUCUUUGUUUCUUCCCUGGUAGAAAUCUGAUAGCCAUUUUAACUAAAUGUUCUUAGAUCGCUGGGUGAUACCUGUUUUCUUUAAUGUUCUAUGUAGAGCUCUAGCCUCCAACACAAUCUGUCUGGGAAGAUUUAGGAAG